ensembl:ncRNA lncRNA:CR44629 long non-coding RNA:CR44629
UUUCACUUUCCAGCUAGACCGCAGCAAAUAAAUCUGUAUCUGCCAGGGGCUCCGAAUGGAGCGGGAGCUCUGUAGAUCUGAGCAGGCGAUUACCGCACUCGUCUGAUGAUGAUGAUGACGAUGGCUGGGCACGACGGGAAAACGCGGAAAAUGCGGGAAGGGAAUGGGGAGAGAGGCAUUGGCAGUUGUCGGUGGAUCACC